AACCACUACACAACCGGGCCAGCCCCAAAUAGUAAUUCAUUUAAUUCUCAUAACAAUUUAGUUAGACUACUGGACAGCAGAGUCGAAAUAAGUUGAAAAUCUGGAUGAUCUGUGGAGGGGAAGAAAAAUCCAUGGUAAAUGUCAUAUUACAGAAGCAGACUCAUGAACUUCGAAAUCGAUAUGUAAUCCCUUCUCUAGCAAUAAGUCCUCAUGCCCCUUAUGGAGAUUAAGCAGCCCCGACAUAUAUAAUAUUUUUUCCUCACAAAUUCCACCUCCCCCGGUUUCUAUAUCCUCCUUUUCCAUUUCUACCCUCCUCCCUCCACCUCCCUCUUCUGCUCUGACUCACCUGGCUAGUAUUGCCUUAUCUGCCCCUGUUACAGACAAAAGGGGAGCUGCUACAUUAACUCAUACAAAAGCUUUGGAGACCAGUGGUGACUUUAUCUGGUAUCCCUUUUUAACGAAUGCAAUUUGCAUUUUUAAAAAGAAGCUUUGAGAGUCGCUCAAAGGAGUGACUCUCUAAUGGUAGAAUUUCCGACUAUCUUCCUUGGAAGAAAUAACGAUAGCAAUCACUGGCACUCUGCUCUGGUCUCUCAUGAGGCUGACACGUGCUAAGCACUUGCAUGUGUGACUAAUUCUCACAACAACCUGCCAAGGGGGUAUGAUCAUCCCCAUUCAGAAAAGGAAACUACAAUUCAGAUGAAGUUAUUAAAGAUACUCACUAGGCCAAGGGAGAUUAGAACCUAGGUAUGUCUGGCUUCCAAGCCCUAACCUUUUCUGGCGCUCUGGCUGCUUCCCUAAAAGGAGAUGAUAGGGUCCUGUGGUGAGCUGGUCUCCUUGCUGCUGGAUGGUUCCCUCCAUCUGCUACACCAGGGACAGAUACUGCAUGCACCUGGCAAGGAAAGGAGAAAGAGGCAGGACUUGGCACGUUCCUCCAGAACAAGGACCCUGGUCACUUCUGUGGUCUCCACUUUACCCAUUUGGAGGGCCUUCUGCCACUCAAGUAGAGUUUCUCACGUAGAAGGAUUUCCUCAAGUGAAGGAAUCAAAAAGCAGGACCAGGCCCCAGGACUUACUGUGACAUCUUUACGCUGACCCGCACCCACAAACUACUUCAUGCUGAGUGGUCUUUUCAAAUUGCCUUCAGGUGUUAGUUUAAGAGAGUAGAUAGAACAGGAAAGCUAAAAAGAUUUUUAAGAUUUAGUAAAAGGGAACGACUGAUACCCCUCAGGCCCUGUAAUAAUGCCCUAUGAACCUGUCAGUUUGCAGCAAGGUGACAAGAGCAGCUGAGGGGAACCUUUGUCCCAUGGUUUAUGGUCAUAGACUUGGUUCACUGUGAUGAAUCAACUAAUUUGAGUUAUUAGAAAAAUGAAAUGGAAUGUUUGCCCUGGUUCCAGAAUUUCUAAAUGCCCCGGCAGGAUAAAAGGUCCUUUUCUGUGUCUAUUUCAUUUUAGAACACGCGUAAUGGUUCCAGGAAGCAUCCUGUCCUGACUUUAUCAGAGCUUUAAACAAAUGUCAUGACCGGUUUUAAUUUAAUGAUUAAUGUUAGCCAUUUAAAUAUUGUAGAUCUUUUCUUGUCCUUGCUAAACUUACCCACAGAUGGGGACUUUCUUGUUAUAAAUGCAGAUACCCAAUAUCACUUAGAAACUGGAAAGAAAAAAAAAGCUUGUCUACAGCCAAUUAGGCUUCAUCAUCAUAAUUUCUCUGGUUUUGUAACGUUUGUUUAUUGGAUUUUGAGGGUAAUUGUUGCCAUUUCUGAUAUCCAGAGUCAUAAAAUCUUCAGCCUCAUGUUUUCCUGCAAGAGAAAGUGGUGACCAUGGGAAACACGUUCUUCCUUACCAGAUCCCAUCUCAGUUAUGAAUGAGAUAUUCGAAGAUCCAGACCCAAACAUGUAAAUCAGUUUGUACACAUUCAAAGAAAAGCUCUCAUACAUUUUCUAAAAACCCACACAUUAAUAUUGCUUACUUUCCAGUGUGGGUAAACGGGGGUCUGAGAGAUCUCCUCAGAGCAGGCUGGAGUUAAAUAAUAUUGCAUGUUUUUCAUUUUACUGUGAUGAAUGCAAAGCUAUUAAAUAACCUUUUAAAGAGUUGGUGUAAUUAUCUGUAAACAGUAAUGUUACAAAAAAAAAGGUCAAGUUGUCCUGCCAUUAGAUGUUUAUGGAUAUAAACUGGAUUUAUGUUUCCAUAAAACAGGCACCGACUAACUAGAUUAAUUCUCCACAAACUAAACCAACUGUAGUAAUAUUUAGACACAAUAAAAUGAUACCAAUUAAAACAAUUUUAUUUUUUGUGUCAUAUUGAUUAAUGGCGCACUAAAAUGAACCAGAGACCUUAAACUCAGAAUGGUUGGCAAAAGGCAUCCACAUCUCAAUAUUAUUACCAACAAGAAGAGCAGUUAAGUGAGAUGGCUGUGCAAUAGUAUGAAUAUUUAAUUAAUAAUUAGUCAUGUAAUUUCUCCUCAGGAAUUAUUAUCCCUCAAACUGGUUUGUGAAUUUAAUUAUUAGCAGCCUUUUUGUUUCCAUGUCCCCUCAUUACUGUCAGGAUUGAUGUAACAUAAACUUCAUUAAAAAUUAAAGCAAGAGUCUUAAUUACAAGGCUACCCUGACUGAAGUUAGAAUUAGCCAAGUCAGUGAUGUGCAAAUGAGUGCAUUAUUUAAGAAACAUGCUGGAAGUAGUUAUGCUAAUGUAGAAGGUUCGCGGUAGCAGGCCUUUCCACUUGCACUUGCAUAUUCAUUAAAUGCACUAUGCAAAUUUAAUGUAGCAGUCUUAGUAAUGCGUUGUUAAUUUAUUCAGAUUUAUUGAGUACGACUUGUAAAAAAAGUACAAAUUUAAUUACUCUAUCUAGUAAGGAUGAUAUUAGGAGAUAGCAGAGGUUUAAAAUGUGUUGAUCUGGAUUACCGCAGUUUGAUGGAAGACGUGGUAUCAAAGGACACAAUUUUGAUAACUGGGCUUGAAAGAAUAUUUGAUUUACUUAUGGAAUGAUCUAAGAAAUCACUAAAAUUGCACAUGUUCCUUCCCAAUAGGAAAGUAAAAAAGUCUCGGUUGUAUUAACUUAAGAGCUAAAGCAGUGCUGAGUCCACAGCCUAAUGGUCGUAAUGACUCUACAGAGACCAGUAAAGGUUAUGGAUUGAGAUCCGCGCGAAGCAAACUGUCUUUGUGGAAAGUUCAUUGGCGGUUGCCCGCGCCUCCGCGGUGCGCAGACGGCGGCGGGCGCAGCCACGGGAAGCCUCGCUCUGCUCUCCAGCGAUGCGCCCUGGCGCCCGGGCAGGGUGCCAUCUUUUAGGGUGAAUUUGGAAGUAGCUGGAGCAACCAAAGGACCAGGACAGGAAAAAUAAAUCAGGACCAUGGACAAGGACUGGAGAAAGGCACGUGGUGGCAGGGACUGCUGGCCUGUGUAAACUUGACCAAGGAUCUGACACACCAAGUCUGCAGAAGUGGAAGGUGUGGCCAGUUCUGGCACUGUCCAGGGGACCCAGUUUGGCACUGAGCACAGUGGCCAGAAGAGCCUGGGCGGACACCCGUUCCGGAACAAAGCAGGUGUCUGGGCAAUGAAAACACUCCGUCCUCAUGGUAAACCUGUGAGGCAGACAUGACAUAAAGUUGUCCCAUUUGAUGAUGAAGGAAACAGAGGCUCCAAGUAGGUAACUGAUGCGCCCAGGAUCAUACAGAUUGUAAAGGAUGAAAACAGAACUCAAAUCCAAGGUUUGUCUCCUGGUAAAGAGGUCUUUCUGUGAUACCAUAAGGAAUCAUAAAGCAGCCUCAAAGAUCAGGAAAUGUGAGAGAGAAUGUGUAAGGGGGUGACUUUGAUGGGUAUUACUAUUUUAACAAGGUGGCCGUUAACUUCAUUUCAACCCUAUGAGAUACACUUAGAACUUCAAUUGUAAAAUUUACAGUAAGGACCUUGUCUUUUUUCUGGGGAAAGGUGUCCUAAAAUGUUGGUAAAUUGAGCAUGAGAGCUUAGUUUCAUGAAAACACAUCUGCCAUCUGCCUUCCACUGGGCUUGUUACAAAGACACCUCUUUAAACCUUAGUGCCAGAGAGUGACAUCUGGUUGCAUAGCUUUCUCGGGAAUUUCCAGGACUUUGUUCAGAACCAAUUAAGCCCACCUGUUCUAUCUCCCCCACAGGAGCUGGAACAGGCAAAAGGGGUUAAUGGGCUUGUGUAACGCAGUGCUCCCCAGCACUUAUCAAAUGCUGCUCUCACCUCUUCCGUGCCUCCACCUAUAAAUGUUAACGAGGCAGGAAAGGUUUGACGUUGACAGAGAGGAAUCAGGAUUCCAUUUUUGACAAGUUGACAAGUGGAGGAAAUUCAUAUAUUAUACGGCUGGGAGCAAUGGCUUUCGCUCUAAUUUGUUAUACUGGUUCCUAUCCAUAGUUUUCUCUCUCUUUUUUUUCUGAAGCUUACCUGUGUUCCAGAGCAAAUGUGGGUGGCCUGAAGCACCUUUCCAUCUUGCUCUGGCUGUGGUGUUUUUAACGAGCCGCUCUCUUGAGCCCUUUCCUAGUGAGGGCUGUGUGCUGCUGGAUAUCCUGGCCUUCUUCCCCAUCCACACUCUUGGGUCUUCCGGGCCAUUCUCCCGCGGAGAGAGUUUGCUCUAUGAAUAGGUACCUUUGAUAGAGCACAAAACCCCGCUGGGUGCGCACCAUGUUGUCUGCCACCCUGAGCAUCCAUGUUUCCUGAAAACAACCUUGAGAAUUUAGCUGUAUACUCUCCCCCUCUGGGCUGCUCUGUCACUUAGCCUGUCACCAGAGAGGAUUUGGGACAACUGAAACUGCUACCCCUAGGGUGUGGUGAAUUGUUGCUCUGCAUUAGAGGUUUAAAUUGAAGUGACAAAACCUCCUAAGAACCUCUUACAUAUAAAGGGCGUGGUGAUUAGCAUGAGGAGCCAUGUGGACUAACUAGUAUGGGAAGCAGACAGCCACCAAGAAUAAAGGUGGCCACAGGAGUAGGUGCUCUCCCAGUUUCCCAGUCUGAUUGGUUUGGUUAAUUACUCUUGCCUCCAAGCCACCUUAUGGAGUCACCUGCCAGCCCACAGAUGGACUCUUGUGUCAUGUGCUCAUCUAGUCUCCAGUCAGUGGCUGCCCCUGAACAAGGAAAGUCAGUGCUCCUCCCUGUUAAGGGAGCUGAGGACAGGGCAGUCCCAGCUAGGAGAUGACACUGGGCAUGGCAGACAUCCUGACUGUCAUGAUCAGAACAGACAGCCCAUGACUCAUGCAGACAGACGGCCAGUGGGGAAAGAGGUGGGGUUGAAGAAUAAGGUGGCUUUCUUUGUUUGCCAGCAGAAGCCGUAAAAGACCUGAAACUUGAGUGAACACAGCUGGCCCAUAAUGUAACUCUUUUUGCUGCACAAAAUAGCUGUGGAAUGCCCCUCUCUCUUUCACAUGUCCAUUACACUAUUAACAUCCCACAGGAAGUGGUGUUUGUACAGUGCUCCUUGAUUAACGAAUCUCCAGGGAACAAACCUUCUCUGUAGGAUGUGAGGCUGUGCUCAAAAAAACUUCAUAAAUCACGCAGCCACGCUACCUGGGCUGGCAGCGGCAUGCUGGCCACACUCGGUGCAUGGCUCAUGUUUACUACCACCAUGCUGAAGGUGGUGAUGAGAACUGGAUCCUCCUCUUCUUAUUUUUCACAUCUGAUGAUUGGAAGAAUUUUCCAUGUAUUUCUGAAUGCAUUUUAGAAGGCCUCAGAACCACAGCCAGAUGAAUGUACGUCUUGAAAUACUACCACCCAAAACAGUGUCCUCCUUCCUGCUAUUACUAAAUGGUGAAUGAAAGCUACAGGCCACAUCCCUUCAGGUCCUAACGCCAUAUGAGGGUGGAGGAGCACUGGUCACUCUGAGGAGACACCUGGCACUGGGAUAACAGCUGAAGGAGUUGGGCCCGAGGACGGGGCUGGACCUGAGAUGUGUCUUCAUGCAUCCGAGGGGCUGGCCUGAGCAAGAGCAGUUAGACCUGAGCUCUGAGGCCUCCUAGGAUCAGACACAGGGCCAACGGGUGAAAGGCUCAAGAAAGUGAUUUCUACUGGUUCUCAGAAGGGAUUUUCUUACCGCCAGUAGAAUCAGCUCCUUGGCAGCCAGUGGGGCCACAGACUUCAUGGACAGGGCACUGACUUUGGAGUUUCUCUGGGAACUACCUUGGUUCCUGGAGAAGACCAGGUGGAAUACUUACACCUCGAAAGGCACAGAGAAAGAAUGCAAGUUCCACCAAGAAGGACUUUUGUUUCCUAAAUCCAGAUCUUUUACAACAUCUGCAAGCCUUUCGAGAUGAAUAAGGAGGUUUGGGGAUUAGUGAAAGGAUGGAUGGGCUUUGAAUUGUUUCUAGAACUACAUUUCUGUUCUUUUAAAGACCAGAUUUGUAAGACAAACACAGUUGUUUUUAAUUACUCAAAGAAUUGGGUUGCAAUCUGAAUGAUAUCAGAGGCCGACCCACCCAUCCAACUACAUUGUCUUCAAUUUGCCUCUUUAUAUCAGGGAGAAGAUCUUCAACUAAGAUGGAAAUCAAGAUUCCUAUGUUCUAGAUUUAGAGCUGUGUGUCUUUGUAAUGUUUUAGUAAAUCCUUCUAUAAAGGCUUCAGAACGUUUUUCUUUCCCUCUAGCUACAUAGGUAUAUUUUAGCUUAAGGGACAGGCCAAAAACAAAAAAUUCCUAUCAAGCUCUGAAUAUCAGCUUGCAAUCUGGCCAACUUCUGACCAUAGAGCUACUUAGAAAAAAAAAAUCCUUUCAAAUAUCUUGUCAGUUUUCAGCUAGAAUAAACAGUAAAUAUUCCUGGCAGUAUUGAAUGACCCCACGGAUGCAAGAGGCAUCCGCAAAGAGGAUGCAAAAGAUGCUACCCUUCCAAGAUCCAGAGCUACUCCCGCACAUAACCAAAAGAAAGACAGACUUAGAUAGUUCCCCUGAGAACUGGCAGAGGUCGAUAGGACCCUCGCCACAAAUGGAGUGCAGCCCAUAUUUCUGUGUAGCCAUAUUUUUUGGGCCCCCAACCUGAUGGUUGCCCAGCCAAGUUCUUAGGACACAAAAAGAGACAAACGAAGGCAAUAGCCGUCCCUGGGAGAGAAAAGAUCGAUAACCAGUGGGUACCCGAAAGCAAAUUUACGAGCCGCAAUUCAAGAUCUAACUCUUAGAAUUGUUUUUUCCUGCCAAUCUGUAUUUGGAAAGGAAGGGACAACAUGAAAUUUUACCUUCCUCACUCAACCAGGCAACAUAGUUAGAGAUCUGAAAGAGCUCACAUUGGUGAGAAUUCUCACUCUUUGGCAACUUCUGCUGGUUCUCCCAGGAUCCCGUCUGCAGAUGCUGGAGUGAGUAAGGUGUCCCAGCAGGUGUCAUCCUGGUCACCAGAAACUCUGCAGAAGGAAAAAUAAUUUUCCUUCUACCCAUUAUGGUGAGUGCCCAGCUGAGACCCCUUUAUCUCUAGGACACCUCAUAAAUGGAUACACUUAUCUGGGUUAUAGCUUCACUGUGGCCGCUGUCAUUUGAGAAUAUCUUUGGUAAGGUUAACCUGCUUGUUCAACCUUAAAACAAAGUUUUAUUCACCUGAGGCCUCACGCUAGCCUAGUUUAGCUUAAGUCAGACCCAUUCCAAUCCCAGACCUGGUCUGGUUUCUAAGUCAGAACUAGUCUGACCCCAGACUCAGCCUAGUUUCUAAAUCAAAACCAGUCUGACCCUGGACGCCGUCCAGUUUUUAAGUUGGAACCAGUCUGACCCUGGACCCAGUCCUACUCUGGCAAGUUUCUGGACCCAGUCUGGCAAAAGAAUCCUCAAAUAAAGUCUUAAAGCUCGUAUUGAAAGAUUAUAGAGCUAAGAACCGACAGGGACUUAACCAUGACCUCCAGAAGCAGCAAGAAAGCAGCCAGAUCAAGGGACUCAGCAGGUACGUGCACCUGGCUGCUCGUUGCUCCUGGGGGCUGUCAGGGGUCUCUUUUGGUUCCCUCUUUUGAUACCAGACCUAUUAAAAGAUAAACGGAGGCAUACUAAAAAUUUUAAGAGUUUAUUUGAGCAAAAAUUGAUCUGAAUUGGGCAGCGUCCAGUCUAGCAGAUAGAAAGAAGCUCUAAGGGGCCGUACAAAAUGGAAGACUUUUAUAUAGCAGAAGGGAACAGGAACAAGGAAGUUACGCUGAACAAAAAAGCCAGUUGGUUAUUGCAAUGUCACUUUCCUCUAGGUGAUGGCAGGGGUCUGUCAGGUAGAUGACCUAACUAGUGCUGAUCCGAUGAUUCCUGAUGGACUGGUUUAAGAUUCCAUUUCUGGGAGAGAAAAAACUGUAAUUAAGCCUUGGUUUGGCGACAAGGCACUUAGUAUAGGCGACUUCAUUUUGGGCCUGUUGUUUUUGACAAUAUGUUGUAUUAACAUCUAUAUAUAUCUUUUUGAUUGGCAAAUACCUUUAACCUAUUUUCUAUCACUUAAUCAUCAUGACGAUCCAAUGAAGAUGGUAUUGUCAAUUGUUAUUAACUUUAUAAAUUAUUGAUGUUAUCAUUAAUAAUUAACGAUAAUAAGUGAGAUAAGGUGUGUAAUGCACUUAGCACUGAGUUUUCUGCUUAGAAAAGACAUGCAAUAAGUCAGCUAUUGUGAUUUUUAAAGUCUUCACCCUUACCUUUAGAGACAAGGAGGCUCAGAGAUAUUAAGGAACUUGCCCAAGGUUUAUACAGCUAGUCAGAGUAGGGUGGGGAUUGAAAUUUCAUGUCAGUUUUCUCUGGAACACACCCUCCACAACAGCUGAAUAUCAUGGCCUUGCUCCAGGUCAUGUCCUCAUAGAGUGCCCAGUCUGCUACUUGCUGGCUCUGUGACCUUGGGCAAGGCCAUGUUAUUUAAGCUUUUCUAUCAAACUAUGUCACUGCCAAUGAAAUCACAGACCACAAAAUCAAGGGUCUGAGCUUAAGGCUUGGGCUUGAUAACAAAUUUCCAGGCCCAUACAAUUCUUCGCCUCUUCCUGGUGAACUAGAGAGAGGACACAGCUUCCCUCCCACAAAUAGCAGCAAAGUGGUUUUAUUUAGACUUAGAAAUUUAUACACUUGAGCUAUUUUACUAGAAGUAUUUUUCUGCUAGAAUUAAUUUGUUACAAGGUAGGUCCCAUUUGGAGAGAUAUUUAAAAUAUUAGCAACAAACUAAUAAUAUAGGAUUUUCCCAAAUGUUCUCUCACAUCUGUGAGCUCAUUAUAAUUCGACCCCUCCACUUCUCAACCCAGCACCAUGAGCUAUGCCUGCAUCCGCAUGUUUCUGUGAGCAAAGAUGUGCCUUCAAAUACUUCCUUCUAAGCAUAUUUUCAUACGAGAGCGCUCACCUUGCUAGAUGGUGAGGUGGUCUGAAGAUGCUCUUUCGGGCGCCUGAGCCAACAUGGCUGGGAACACCAGGUUAUGUUUCACUUUCAAUUUCCUCCUUUGCAAGAGGAGGAUUUCAGUAAUAAAAUGCAGCUGAAAUUGGUCUGUGACUGAAUCAGCAUCCUGAGAAACAGGAUGGUAAUGAGGUGGAAAGAAAAGAGGUGGGAGAAGGGAUGGAUGGUGGGAAACAUUCUCCCUCUGAAAAAAUAGUUGACAGGGAAAUCCUGCGAUGGGUAUCUCACUGGUGAUUGGAAUGCGACUCCUGUUAAGCAUUUGUUUAAUACUGAUCCUUUUGGGGGGGGGGGGGGUACUUUUUCUAUUUUGCUAAACUGUAAAAUCCCUCUCUUGCCCACUUUCUGGAUCAUUGGUUUUGAUAUUUAUGCAUAUUUUAACAUAGAAUUUGUGAUAAUUGUUUCCUUUAUUCAAGUAAUAAUGUUAGAACGACAAACACUGCCUGAAAUGGACAAGGUGUUUCUUCGCCGACUGCGUGGUGGGAGUGAUUCAGCUGAGUCUGUUAUUCCUACGAGGGCUAACCUGCGGUCCUUCCUACCUUAUCGUCUCCAGGUAUAUCAUCUAGACCAGAAGCUGCGAAGCAAAGGGCUGAGGCCAAAUAAGCCUCAUGGACAUGUUUUAUUUGGCUCACACAAUUGAAAAAAAUAUAUUUUUUUUAAUAAUUGGCAACUUUAAAACAAAUCGGGAGCGUUUGUGUAAAAAUCCUUAUUUCCACCAUCUUUUGAAAAAUCCAGGGCUCUGCACACAGGGCCCACGAUUGCUCAUAGUGACAGGAGGUACUGGUCAUAUAGCUGUCCUUUUAGGAGGGGCAUAUUCCCUCCAGGGUGCCAUGGUCCCCACCUCUUCCUGGUGUCUUGAAAACAGCUUGGCCACUGUGGGCAUUUGAGAUUACAGUCCUAGAAGUUUUGUCGAUGGCUGCCACCUCUCCCCUCCGCACGCUGCCCAAAUGCCACCACUUCUCGAUGUUUAUUACAAGAACUCACAAUGAUACAUUGUUAUUUGAGAGAAGGUAUACAUGGUCAGCCCACACUUGGGCAUGUGUAUAUUAAUUUGUUUCUGUGGUGAGGCGUCCACAGUGCACUUUGUGGCCAUGCACUCUCUCCCCGCCCCCAACCCCAGCAAGUCAUACAGAGGGCAGAGCACCAGCUUUGAUGUGAGGCAGACCUAGCUUCCCGUUCUGGUUGUGCCAUUCACUAAUCAUGUGAUGCUGGGCAAGACAUUUAAUCCAGUCCCCAGUAUCCUCCUCUAUAAAAUGAGGAUGCUGUGAGGGUAGAAUGAGCAAUGCCUGUUUGCACAGACCUGACCCACUUUCACACCAAACACAUGUUCCCUGCUUCUUCUGUUCCCCCUUCAAGCCGGUAACUGGAUUGAGUUGGCCAACUCUCUUACCAAACUGAGAGCCAAAUGGGUCAAAACGGUUGCCAGAAAACGCAGAGAACCCUCCAUGUGGAGAAGUGGUGUGAUGUGGGACUUCAUUUAAUACAGAAAGCCCUUUCUGGAGCAGCCUGGGCAUUCCAAAGGUUCCAGUACCCCCAAGUCGGCAGGUAUAAUGUCUCAAGGUUGCAUCGUCCCUUGGGAUGGACUCUGCAUGUUCUUUGUCAUAGUAGUUGUCGCUGAACUGCAGCUAUUUUAAAAGGUAGGAUGGAGACUGUGAAUUUGAGAUCAGAUUUCAGAGUGGAGCCCAAAGGCUUCCAGUUAAGUGUGAACGUUGUAUGAGAAAUAACAAUAGGGAGUGAGAUACGCGGAAAGUGUUAUACAUGAAUUUACAUUCAAUAAAAAAACCCCUCUAGCUAUAAUUAUCACAUUUUUGCUAAUAUUGAGAUUCUAGAUGUCAGAUUUAAUAUUUGAGUAAACUAAUUAAAGAAUUUUUUUCCUAGCCUUGACAAACAAUCUUUUGUAUUGAAAGUUUUCAAAUGUAUUUUUUGGGGGGGCUGAAACUGACUGAUCCACAGGAACAGCACUUUUGGGGGAAAACCCCAGGAACAUCUUUCGUCUUUGCUUUUUCUUUUCUCCAUCCGUCUCCUUCUCCCCCUUUCCCAGCUCUGUUUUGUGUUCUUUUGUUAAGGGCACUAUUUUCAGACAGUGUUAAUGUGUCUUUUUUAUGCAUUUGCGAUAUAGUUCUAGGUGGAAUUGCCUCUUAAGAUUUCCUCUUUGGCUGUGGCACAUUCAGACUCAAAUUGUUGUGCUCAGUAGGGCCAUUGUCACAUUAUAACAGGGAAAAUGCUUCAUCAUGUGUUAUAGAACAAGAUGGAAUCUUCGCUAAGGAGCUCAGGGAUCAAAGUGGAGGAAAAAGAUUAAUUUUUAUGCAUCAAGUCAUUAUAGAGGGAGAAGUAGACAUUAAGAUUGCCAGGGAGAUUUUUCUCAUCUAAUAUCGACACAGAGGAUGUGUUGGGAGGAUCACUGGCUCUGUUCUCAGAUUUGUUUUUACAUUUAAAGUGCACAGAUCUAGGUCAUAAGCUUGUUUACACAUCUUUCAGGAUUUAUAAAGGGCCUCUCUUUUAAAAAGAUAUCGUUUUCCCAGGAUUUAGGACAUCUAAAAAUAUUUUGAUUGUUUUGACUCCUUAAAAAUGCAUAGCUACAUUUCAGGCAAUUUUGAAGAUAAAAGACAGAAAAAAGAAAAGGCAAAGAAAUCACUCUUUACUAUCCUAAGUCAGCAACUCUCGCGAUGUUUCCUUUUUAUCUUUUAAAAGAUGCUGCCAUUUAACACGGUUGCAAACUUAACGUACCUGAUUUUGUAUACCAUUUCUUUUGUUCGCCUACUAUUAUACUGUAUGUGAUUUUCCACAGCCUUACAGAAAUUCUCUCAAGCACAUGUGCCCAGUUUAUUAAGCUCCUCUGUUAUUAGACAUCUGAGUAAAUUCCUUUCUGCACACCAGGAUUUUGCUAUAUUUUGAUUUAUAUUCUCAGAACAAAUUCCCCAAAGUGGAAUUUCUGGAUCAAAGGUUAUAAAUAUUAAGAUUUUGAUGCAAACUACAAAAUUGCUUUCUAAAAGAAUUGACUAGACCAGUUUUCACUUCAGCUGUAGAAGAAUGCCCUUUCCCCACGUCACAUGCCAUUUUAGUUCGUGUGUACCUUCUGAACUUUUUUUAUCGUUUUCAUAUUUUGUUUAAAUUUCUUGAUAAAUCACAAAGCAUCAUAUAUGGUAGCAAUUAUUAUUGCUACUAAUAAUU